rnacentral:rRNA from 1 species
GGUAGGACGUCGCGAUCCGUCGGGCGUCGGUCUACGGUUCGCGGUGGAGCCCGCUCGUACUUCGCGUACGGGCGGACCCGCGUGACCCGGCCGACUCGCUCGACGGUAUACGAAAGGUUUAAGGCCGCUCACCACGUAGCGUUCGACUCGCGGCAAGCGCGCAGGAUGCGUCGGCGAUCGGACCCGGUGCCGAUUCUGACCUCCGGCGACUGUUGGCCGCGAAGUUCUCGAACAGACCUUCUAGACCGAUCGGCGACGCUAUAGCUUUGGGUACUUUCAGGACCCGUCUUGAAACACGGACCAAGGAGUCUAGCAUGUGCGCGAGUCAUUGGGAAUCACUAAACCUAAAGGCGCAAUGAAAGUGAAAGUCUUCCUCGCGGGGACUUAGGGAAGACGGGCGACUCACCCUUAAAAGUGACCGCUCGGCAUUCCCGGGGCGUCUCGUUCUCAUCGCGAGAAGAGGCGCACCAAGAGCGUACACGCUGGGACCAGAAAGAUGGUGAACUAUGCCUGGUCAGGACGAAGU